GGGCCACCCAAAAGCACAUAAGAGCACUUGUGUAGGCGACGUUUUGUGGCCGACGUAAAACGGUAGCCUGAUGGCGAUAUGAAAUCAGUCCCGUCACCAGGCACUCGUCGGGGUGGCGGCGCGGGGAGUGGUGUGGCAGAGGAGGGGGUGGUUCAAGCCAGACACGCACCGGGGCCGGCGCCCGCCACGCCACACCACUCACAGCGGGGCGAGGAAAAAGUUACGCGAUCGAAAAGAUAAACUUAUCCAAUCCAGGCUAUCACGCUGGUGCUGGCCGAGUGCAGCGCCUCCUGGGCCACGGCGGCCGAUCGAUCCGACCGACGACGACUACCCGCCGAGCUUAAAAGCCGAGCCCCGAGCCGGUCAUCGUCCAGGUCGGCGGUGGCGUCGUCACCCACGCACGGCCCGGGGCGCCGCCACCCGCCCUGCCGGCCGUUUAGUUGUAGAGCAGUUUACUGCCUGCGUUCCGAAGCCUCUCCGCUUCUCUGCUGCGACUUUACGAGGCCGUCCUCCUCCCAUUUCUUGAUUGUCCGAUCAGCGUUAGUAAUUGCCUCGUGGAGUCUUCGGCGCGGGCGCAACACUGCUGCUGCUCGGGCCCCGCGGGCGGCGGGCGGGCGCCGCACAGCAGCCGCUACAGCCGUGGAGAAUGACGAGCCCGCAGAGCAAGCCCAAGAGGAAGUGGCACUUCCCCACCGGGGACGGCGACAGCGCGCUGCCCACCAUCUCGCUGCCCGAGGGCGUGUCCAUGUCCGGGCUGCUGGGGCCGGAGAACGCCCCCCGCGGCUACGGCUGGACCCGGCUGUGGCGCUACGCGUCGCUGCUGCUGCACACGGGGUGCUGAGCGGCGCGCCACCAACCUGACGGCGGCCUCGACGACAGAGUCGACGACCACCCCCGCCAUGCCAACACGCCCCGGCCCGCGCGCUCUCCCUCGCUACCUCGCUCCGCACUUUCUGUUGUUGUCAUUUUCGUUGAGGUUGAGUUACCUGAUCAGACCAGAGACGUGAGGGCAAGGAGUGCUCCACGCGUGUCGCGUACCCAUGCGGUAACGGGAUGUGACGACACGUGACGAGACGUGACGACAUGUGACGCACGGGGGCAUCCAACGACGACGCGUCUUCGAUGAGCACCCGAGCCGCAAUUCAGUCAGGAGUAGGAUGGAUGGUUAUUUCCGAAGUUCUGUUUCAGUAUUAAGCUUCUACCUUAUCCUGCCGGGGUGAUUUUUUUGGAGACGUAGAAAAAAAAUAAGCAGAAGGAAAAUAGUGUAUGCGUUACAUGGCGCGUUCGUGGUUGCUUCUCGACGGGUUCACUAACUCUGCGAGUCGAAACCUCCAACACACCGUUGACGUGUUUUGAUCUUUUUUCAAUAAAUGAGUAAGUCUUUCCGAGACCUACUAGCCUUUUAUUCCAUUUGUGUACAAGUCAACACGAAAGUAUUGUACAAUAUUGUAACCUUUUCUUUUAUAUUUAGAAUUCUGAGGCACAAAUUAUUUCAUAGAGUGUGGUCUUGAGGGAACUGAGUUCGGCCCUUAAUCCUUUGUAUCUGAGCCACGACCUUCGUGGCACGAUCACUUCGAACGGUUUCCUUAGAUAUCUCUCCAUAAUCCUUGGUACGAGAGUUGUCAUCACGAGUUCGUAAUUAAAGGACCGCCUGGGGGAAGUCCGGCCCACCUGAGGUCGAGGUCAAGGAACAGAGGACCGUGACCUUUCUCCGAGUCCGUCAGGACACGUCGGAUUAGAUUCCAGGAUAAAUGAAAAACGUUUGAUGCCGGUGUAGUCACUAAAAAUCAAUUAUUUGUUUUAAUUCUUGUAGCUCAGCAGGGUUGAGUGUAUAUGAAGCUGAAUCUGGAUGUUGUUACUAUGUGUGUUGCUUCUAUGAUUCACAUGCAAUUUAUCGGCUGUUGACUAUUAAUGAUAAGGCUGAUAAAACUGACAGAUGGUGUGUAUUUGUGUGUGUGAAUGUGACUGAGAUUAUAAAAGAAACGAGUUAUGGGGGUAAUGGGUAAUGUGCCAUGCUACUACACCACCUGGUCUCAUUGAUUUAUUGUCAGCCUUUGUCUGUGCCUUCCAACAACAAUAAUUAUUUUCUUCUUCAUUCUGAGAAACAAUUUUGUGGCAAAUAUAAUAAUGGCAUCCCCAAGCUAGUCCAAAUGAUGAAGUAAAUCAGUAGAAUAAUCCCAUUUCUGAAUGAGUGUGUUUACCAAUAUUUCAUGAGCUCCGGGAGUAAAUCAUACUUUGUGCUGCUGUGUUGUUUGAACUUGUAUCAAUUAUGUUGUGAUAGAAUCAUUGAACAGUUAUGUGUCUCCACUUGUUUUCUAGUACGAUUUUUUCUUAAAUGUUUUAAUGUGGUAGGUUUCCUAGUUGAUGUGUUCCAAUAUCUCAUUUGAGUGUUGUUAUUGGGUGCUGCAAUACAUUAUGGCAGGCUCAUGUUAUGUUAGUAUAAUUUGUAAUUCUAUUAUAAAAACAAACGUGUGAAUAAUGAAAA